ensembl:snRNA U6 U6 spliceosomal RNA
AUGCUGGCUUCGGCAGCACAUAUUACUAAAAUUGGAACGAUACAGAGAAGAUUAGCAUGACCUCUGCACAGGAUGACCCGCAAAUUCGUGAAACGUUCUAUAUUUUG